rnacentral:rRNA from 1 species
UACGAAGGGGACUAGCGUUGUUCGGAAUCACUGGGCGUAAAGCGCACGUAGGCGGAUUCGUAAGUCAGGGGUGAAAUCCCGGGGCUCAACCCCGGGCCUGCAGCCGAUACGGGCAGACUAGAGUUCGGCAGGGGAGACUGGAAUUCCUGGUGUAGCGGUGAAAUGCGCAGAUAUCGGAAGGAACAUAAGUGGCGAAGGCGGCUAUCUGGACAACAACUGACACUGAGGCACGAAAGCGUGGGGAGCAAACAGG